rnacentral:misc_RNA from 1 species
UCUCCGUUGGUGAACCAGCGGAGGGAUCAUUACCGAGUGCAAACUCAUAACCCUUUGUGAACCUAUAUCUGUUACUUCGGCGGCUCGCACUCGGGCGAGCCCGCCGGUAAUAUCAGUAUCUCUGUUUGAACCCGACGAUACUUCUGAGUGUUCUUAGCGAACAGUUAAAACUUUUAACAACGGAUCUCUUGGCUCUA